AAUGAACGUUGGCGGCGUGGAUUAGGCAUGCAAGUCGAACGAGAUCUGUAGCAAUACAGUGAAAGUGGCGAAAGGGAGAGUAACACGUAGGUACCUGCCCUCGGGUCUGGGAUAGCUGCGGGAAACUGCAAUUAAUACCGGAUGACGUCUCUGGACCAAAGGUGUGAUUCCGCCAGGGGAUGGGCCUGCGUCCUAUCAGCUAGUUGGUGUGGUAACGGCGCACCAAGGCUAAGACGGGUACGGGGUGUGAGAGCAUGCCCCCGCUCACUGGGACUGAGAUACUGCCCAGACACCUACGGGUGGCUGCAGUCGAGAAUCUUCCGCAAUGGGCGCAAGCCUGACGGAGCGACGCCGCGUGUGGGAUGAAGGCCUUCGGGUUGUAAACCACUGUCAGUGGGGAGCAAAUGCAUCAGGGUUCUCCCUGGUGUUUGAGCGAUCCGCAGAGGAAGCACAGGCUAAUUCCGUGCCAGCCGCCGCAGUAAGAC
rnacentral:rRNA from 1 species